GAUGAAGAACGUAGUGAAAUGCGAUACUUGGUGUGAAUUGCAGAAUCCCGUGAACCAUUGAGUUUUUGAACGCAAGUUGCGCCCGAAGCCGUUAGGCCGAGGGCACGCCUGCCUGGGUGUCACACAUCGUUGCCCCAAUGCCAAUCGCCUCACUUUGUAGGUAUUUGCUUGGGGUGAAUGUUGGCCUCCCGUGAGCUUUGUCUCACGGUUGGUUGAAAAUCGAGUGCAUGGUGUCGGGUGUACCAUGAUGGAUGGUGGUUGAGUGAUGAUGCUCGGGACCAAUCAUGGGUAACUCCACCAGAAUUGGGCUCGGUGACCCACAUGCGUCCCUUGGAUGCUCCCUAAGGAGACCUCAGGUCAGGCGGGGCUACCCGCUGAGUUUAAGCAUAUCAAUAAGCGGAGGA
rnacentral:misc_RNA from 1 species